CCUACGGGUGGCAGCAGUGAGGAAUAUUGGUCAAUGGGCGCGAGCCUGAACCAGCCACGUCGCGUGAAGGAUGACUGCCCUACGGGUUGUAAACCUCUUUUAUAAAGGAAUAAAGUGCGGCACGUGUGCCUUGUUGUACGUACUUUAUGAAUAAGGCUCGGCUAACUCCGUGCCAGCAGCCGCGGUAAGACGGAGGAUCCGAGCGUUAUCCGGAUUUAUUGGGUUUAAAGGGUGCGUAGAUGGGUUGUUAAGGCAGUCGUGAAAGUUUGCGGAUCAACCGUCAAAGUGCAAUUGAUACUGGCAGUCUUGAGUACAGGAGAGGUAGGCGGAAUUCGUGGUGUAGCGGUGAAAUGCUUAGAUAUCACGAAGAACUCCGAUUGCGAAGGCAGCUUACUAAACUGCCACUGACAUUGAUGCACGAAAGUGUGGGUAUCAAACAGGAUUAGAUACCCUUGUAGUC
rnacentral:rRNA from 1 species